UACGUAGGGGGCAAGCGUUGUCCGGAAUCAUUGGGCGUAAAGAGCGUGUAGGCGGCCUGGUAAGUCCGCUGUGAAAGUCCAGGGCUCAACCCUGGAAUGCCGGUGGAAACUGUCAGGCUCGAGUCCGGAAGAGGCGAGUGGAAUUCCUGGUGUAGCGGUGAAAUGCGCAGAUAUCGGGAGGAACACCAGUGGCGAAGGCGACUUCCUGGCCUGUUCUUGACGCUGAGGCGCGAAAGCUAGGGGAGCAAACGGG
rnacentral:rRNA from 1 species